rnacentral:rRNA from 1 species
CAAUAGCGUAUAUUAAAGUUGUUGCGGUUAAAAAGCUCGUAGUUGGAUUUCUGUCUAGGGCGGCCGGUCCACACUUUGUGUGAGUAUCUGGUUCGGUCUGGGGCAUCCUCUUUGGGGAUGCGUUUCUUGCGCUUAAUUGCGUGGGCGGAGAUUCAAGACUUUUACUUUGAGGAAAUUAGAGUGUUCACGGCAAGCUAUCGCUUUGAAUACAUUAGCAUGGAAUAAUAAUAUAGGGCAUAAGUUCUAUUUUGUUGGUUUCUAGGACGUAUGCAAUGAUUAAUAGGGAUAAUUGGGGCGAUUCGUAUUAACACGUCAGAGGUGGAAUUCUUAGAUUGUGUUACGACGAACUACUGCGAAAGCAUUUGCCAAGGAUGUUUUCAUUGAUCAAGAACGAAAGUAUGGGGAUCGAAGAUGAUUAGAU